rfam:Mycobacterium abscessus strain PAP053 genome assembly, contig: ERS075544SCcontig000001
UGUAAGUAACGCGGGAGCCCCGGGAUGUCGGGGCUGAGAGUGGGCCAAGGACUCCGGCCCUGACCGUCGUACCUGAUCCGGGUCAUGCCGGCGAAGGGAGUUGGCUCCGAUUGUGA